rnacentral:rRNA from 1 species
UACGUAGGGUCCGAGCGUUGUCCGGAAUUACUGGGCGUAAAGAGCUCGUAGGUGGUUUGUCGCGUUGUCCGUGAAAACUCACAGCUUAACUGUGGGCGUGCGGGCGAUACGGGCAGACUGGAGUACUGCAGGGGAGACUGGAAUUCCUGGUGUAGCGGUGAAAUGCGCAGAUAUCAGGAGGAACACCGGUGGCGAAGGCGGGUCUCUGGGCCGAAACUGACGCUGAGGAGCGAAAGCGUGGGGAGCAAACAGG